GGAAACAAUAUUUUUAGUUAUUGUCUAUUUAAGACCACAGAAAGCUUUAGACCUUUUUUUGUCAUUAUUUGUCUUGUUUUUUGCUUUCUUCAUUCUUGGAUUCCUCUUUAUCUAUUGCCCUUAAUUUAUUUUUAGUGCUUUGUAACUUAAUAUCUGUCAGUUGCUGCUUAAUUUCUUUCUCCUGUCUACACAGAACAUUUUCCUUCAUCUGUUCUUUUGUUCGUUUACAGCCCAAAAAUAUCCAAUGGUCCAUUUAUUGCAAAAAAGUGAUAACUCAUUUAACCAGGAACUGUUGAAAAGUAUGGUAAAAAGCAUUAAAAUGAAUGAUGUCUAUGGACCAAUGAGUCAGAUUUUAGAGACACUGAAUAAGUGUCCACAUUUUAAAAGACAGAGGAGUUUAUACAGAGAAAUACUAUUUCUCUCACUUGUGGCACUGGGAAGAGAAAACAUUGAUAUAGAUGCUUUUGAUAAAGAGUACAAGAUGGCAUACGAUCGUCUCACACCUAGUCAAGUCAAGAGUACACACAACUGUGAUAGACCACCAAGUACAGGGGUGAUGGAAUGUCGAAAAACCUUUGGAGAACCUUAUCUUUAAGAUGUAUUUGUAUGUGUAAACAUUCAAUGU
rnacentral:sRNA from 1 species